ACAAGCAUUUAUCCGACUGAAAGGAAUGAAUCUAAUACAAAUAGAAAUGACCCUGAAUCUGAACAUGUAUCUCAGUCUACGGGAUCGAAAGAUAGUUCUGAACUCCAAAUGUCUGGAAAAUACCAACAAAAGUCUCCUGCAUCUGAGCAUCUACCCCUUAGUUCACCAGACAAUUCUCAAUCGAAAGACAAAACUGAACUUUCAACGAUUGGUAAAUGCAAACUGGCUCAUGCUUCACUGAGAAAUAUCAUUGCAUGGGGUUCGGUUCUUCCAUCAGUGCCAGGUCAAAAGGUUCAUGGAGAUCCACUCCGGGAUGAUUGUGUCAG